rnacentral:rRNA from 1 species
ACGAAGGGUGCAAGCGUUAAUCGGAAUUACUGGGCGUAAAGGGUGCGUAGGCGGUUCGUUAAGUCAGUCGUGAAAUCCCCGGGCUCAACCUGGGAAUGGCGAUGGAUACUGGCGAGCUAGAGUGUGUCAGAGGAUGGUGGAAUUCCCGGUGUAGCGGUGAAAUGCGUAGAUAUCUGGAGGAACACCGGUGGCGAAGGCGGCAUUCUGGACCAAUACUGACGCUGAGGAGCGAAAGCCAGGGGAGCAAACGGGA